AGCUGUAAAUUCACUAAUGCAAAGUGCACAGAAAAAGGAAAGUAGAAAGGCCGUUUUAAAAAGGCACGUCUCAUAAGGAGAUGAGCAAAUGGCUGGUGCUGUAGCUUGAUUGACAGUUGAAUAUGUUCUAGCUGUUGGAGAUGGCGACCGUUGGCGGAGAAGAAGCCGGAGCAUCGUUGAAAGUGUGCGACGCGAUGAUGUCACUUCUAGGUGCCGGCUCUGCGCUCCCAGAUGAAGAGACAGCACAGACCAGAUGAAUGAAUCGUGGAUCAAGAAAUCUUCCUGGAGGCAUCGUCUGUGCCAAGCUUCUCCACCGUGCAGGUCCGGAUUCUUUGCUGCCAGUUACGUGAGUGCGCAGCAACUGACAUGUCUUCUCUUUUAUAGGUAUCCAUGAGACUGACUGUCUCCAAUCAAGC